UCAAGUCCACUUCACACUCAGAAAGCCUUUUUUUUCCCCCAGCUCUGUUCUCUUAGCUCCUCCUUUUGUUAUAUUUCAGUGUAUGUUUUCCUACUCCACACUGCAGAAGUGACACUGGAUGCAGAUGAGCAGUUACAAAGCCAUUGAAAGGAAUUAACACUACCAGGGAUCACAUGAGGCCAUGUCUGAUGUUCAUGAGAGUGAUGCACAUUCCUGUUGAACUGCAGUCCAUGGAAUUCACUCUCAUCUGUGAUGAUGAAGAUGAUCAGUAAAAGUGAAAUGGGUCAUAACUCUUCUGUUGGUAGGGAAAGAAAUGGGGGGAAACAAUGGAAAUUACUGCAUCUCAAUCUGUUUGGGCAAGACAGUGCAAAGCAGCAAUAACCCUCAGAGUGUUCAUAACAAGCUGAAACAAAGCUCCAGCCCUUCCUCCUGUCUUCAGAAGUGACCCACAACACCUGGUUGCUGCAGUAAAGGUAUAGCCAUGUUCUUCCAGAACAUUUUCACAAGACUGAGAGACAUGCAGCACAGAAAAUCUCAACAUGUUCUCUCUCUCUUGGAUAAGUUACAGGUCUAUCAAGUAGCCAUAUACUGGAACAACAUCCAUAACAGAUAUAUCAGGGAAAAUUUCAGCUGCUUAGAUACAGUCUACCUUCAUGUGAUGUGUUGAUUACAUAAAAAAAAAAAAUAAAAUAAAUGGUUUCCAGACAACAAUAUGAUUACAUUUAGUCUGAAGUAUAGGAAAAGCAUUCCAUAUACAUAUAAAUGGAUUAAAAUUCAGAAUGUACAAUACAUUUUAAACUGCAAGUGUAAACUUGUAGACAAGUACACUAUAUGU